GGAGGGGCUAUAGGUCAGUGGUGGACCAUCUGCUUUACAUGCAGAAGUUCUCAGGUUCAAUCACUGGCGUCUCCU
rnacentral:tRNA from 1 species